rnacentral:rRNA from 1 species
UACAGAGGGGGCAAGCGUUAUUCGGAAUUAUUGGGCGUAAAGGGCGCGUAGGCGGCCUGGCAAGUGGAAGGUGAAAUCCCUCGGCUUAACCGAGGAACUGCCCUCCAAACUGCUUGGCUUGAGUCCGGGAGAGGUGAGUGGAAUUCCCAGUGUAGCGGUGAAAUGCUUAGAUAUGACAUAGAACACCAAUUGCGAAGGCAGCUUACUACCCGAAUAUUGACACUGAGGCACGAAAGCGUGGGGAUCAAAUAGG